UACGUAGGGCGCAAGCGUUAUCCGGAAUUAUUGGGCGUAAAGAGCUCGUAGGCGGUUUGUCGCGUCUGCCGUGAAAGUCCGGGGCUCAACUCCGGAUCUGCGGUGGGUACGGGCAGACUAGAGUGAUGUAGGGGAGACUGGAAUUCCUGGUGUAGCGGUGAAAUGCGUAGAUAUCAGGAGGAACACCGGUGGCGAAGGCGGGUCUCUGGGCAGUAACUGACGCUGAGGAGCGAAAGCGUGGGGAGCGAACAGG
rnacentral:rRNA from 1 species